rnacentral:sRNA from 1 species
UGUUGCCUCGGCGCAAGCUACCCGGGACCUCGCGCCCCGGGCGGCCCGCCGGCGGACAAACCAAACUCUGUUAUCUUAGUUGAUUAUCUGAGUGUCUUAUUUAAUAAGUCAAAACUUUCAACAACGGAUCUCUUGGUUCUGGCAUCGAUGAAGAACGCAGCGAAAUGCGAUAAGUAAUGUGAAUUGCAGAAUUCAGUGAAUCAUCGAAUCUUUGAACGCACAUUGCGCCCAUUAGUAUUCUAGUGGGCAUGCCUGUUCGAGCGUCAUUUCAACCCCUAAGCACAGCUUAUUGUUGGGCCUCUACGUUUCGUAGUGCCUCAAAGACAUUGGCGGAGUGGCAGUAGUCCUCUGAGCGUAGUAAUUCUUUAUCUCGCUUUUGUUAGGUGCUGCCCCCCCGGCCGUAAAACCCCCCGGCGAGUGAAGCGGGAACAGCUCAAAUUUGAAAUCUGGCCCUUGGGUCCGAGUUGUAAUUUGUAGAGGAUGCUUUUGGUGCGGUGCCUUCCGAGUUCCCUGGAACGGGACGCCUUAGAGGGUGAGAGCCCCGUACGGUUGGACGCCUAGCCUCUGUAAAGCUCCUUCGACGAGUCGAGUAGUUUGGGAAUGCUGCUCUAAAUGGGAGGUAUAUUUCUUCUAAAGCUAAAUACUGGCCAGAGACCGAUAGCGCACAAGUAGAGUGAUCGAAAGAUGAAAAGCACUUUGAAAAGAGGGUUAAAUAGCACGUGAAAUUGUUGAAAGGGAAGCGUUUAUCACCAGACUUUUUCUAGGGGGAUCAUCCGGGGUUCUCUCCGGUGCACUUCCCCUAGUUGAGGCCAGCAUCGGUUUUCGGAGGGGGAUAAAAGCUUCGGGAAUGUGACUCCCUCGGGAGUGUUAUAGCCCGUUGCAUAAUACCCUUCUGGGGACCGAGGUUCGCGCAUCUGCAAGGAUGCUGGCAUAAUGGUGAUCAACGACCCGUCUUGAAACACGGACCAAGGAGUCGAACAUUUAUGCGAGUGUUUGGGUGUUAAACCCUCACGCGUAAUGAAAGUGAACGGAGGUGAGAGCCCUUACGGGUGCAUCAUCGACCGAUCCUGAUGUCUUCGGAUGGAUUUGAGUAAGAGCAUA